rnacentral:lncRNA from 1 species
UCACCAAUCAUUUAUUGGGUAUUUUAGUACAGUUCCAUAGAUUUUCUUGUGAAAGGUUUUCAGGCUCCAGGAGCUAUAGAUUGACAGUGUUGGCUCAUUGGAAUCUGCAAACAGAUGACAUAUGCUGUCUCUCUGAUUUGCGUGAUCAGAAACUAGGAAGGCAUCAAGCUGGAAUCAGUCCAUUCAGCUCUGCUGAUAAAAGCUCAGUGACCAGUCCUUCUGGUAGGGGUAGAAAUGUGGGUGUGCUGGGUGUCGUGGACAUCUCCUAGCAGCUUCUCAUUGUGUUUCAUUUUAGUGUAGACUACGAGGUUUGCAGUUUCUAAUGGUUCAUCCACAGGAGCUUAGUAAAAUCCAUGUGUCCCUUCCUCAGGCUGCAAUGUAUAGCUUCAGAAUACCUUUCCUAUUUCUGAACUUUUGGGAGAAAUUUCUACCUUUCAGUGAUACAAUCAUGUCCCCCUACAGGAGGGAAAACCAGGAAAUGAUUUAAAUCCCCAAAUUAAUCAAAAUUGGGAUCUGAUUAUUUUACCCAAUUUACCCCUCAGAUUUCACCCAACCCAAACACCCUGGAAAUGCUGCUCAGAGAGCUGAAAUGCCCUGAAAGUGUAUAUUAGUCCCCCAAACAUUUUUGCAGAUAGAUAGAGUAGAAGAGAGAUUUAAAACAUACAUUUUCAUCUCUUAAACAGAAGUAAGGAUGAACUUGACACGUAGAUUUCUUCCUUGGCUUCUUGUUGCUCUGACUCUGGUGCACGCGCAGCCUAGUGCUGACCCUGUCUCUGCUCUAGUACAUAUUCGUAGAAGGGGUUGGGAGAAAGAGUUGCCUUGGUAGGGUGGCUUAUACCUUGUUCUCUUCUUUGGGGUCUCUCAGUGCUCUGGGUUGGAUGGAAGGCCAGGUCACUGUGUCUUCCCUGGGAACCUCGACUCUGGCCUUCCUCAUUCAUGUGGAAUUUUUCUCUGUUAGCACGGCCUUGCUGGGUCCUAUGGGACUGUUGAUCCUGGGACCCUUGAUACCUCUCUUUAUCCUCAUGGGUUUGCCUAUCCUGUCGUUGCUGACAGUUUUGAUCCUCUUCAUGGGUUUGCUUGUCUCGUCUCUGACGGGUCUGCUCAUCUUCAUGGGUUUGCUUGUCUCGUCUAUGACGGGUCUGCUCUUGUCUCUCUGUCUGGCCAUAUGGGAACCCUGGCCUUGUGUGUCUGUAUGACCAUAGUGAGAACUCUGACCUUGUCUAUCUGUCUGGCCAUAGUGGGAACCUUGACUUUGUCUGUCUAUCUGGCCAUAGUGGGAACCCUGGCCUUGUCUCUCUGUCUGGCCAUAUUGAGAGCUCAGGCCUUGUCUAUCUGUCUGACCAUAGUGAGAACUCUGGCCUUGUCUAUCUGUCUGGCCAUAGUGGGAACCCUGGCUUUGUCUGUCCGUCUGGCCAUAGUGGGAACUCUGGCCUUGUCUAUCUGUCUGGCCAUGGCAGGAGCUCUGGCCUUGUCUCUCUGUCUGGCCAAAGUGAGAGCUCUGGCUUUCUCUGUCUGACUGACCAUAGUGAGAACUCUGGCCUUGUCUGUCUGUCUGGCCAUAAUGAGAACCCAGUUCUUGCCUAUUUCUCCUACCAUGGCCUGAUUCCUGACCCAGCCUCUCAGAUUGCUCAUAAUAAGAGCCUGAUUCCUGUUGGUUUGUGUGGCUGGAGGAGUCCUCUCCCAGUCUUCCAGACUGGCCACAGCUUGACUGUUGCCCAAGCUUAUCAGAUUGGCCAUAAUGAGAAUCCUGAAGUUGUUUCUCACACUGAUUUAAGGCAAAGACAUAUCCUUGUCCUUUAGGCUUGCCACUGCCAAAUGUAUGGCUCAGUUUUUUAUCAGAGCUGGAGUCCUGACCUUGUGUCUGAGACUGACCAUAGCAAGAGUCCCUAUCUUGUCUCCCAGACUGACCAUAGUGGGAGUCCCUGUCUUGUCUCCCAGACUGACCGUAGUGGGAGUCCCUGUCUUGUCUCUCAGACUGACCGUAGUGGGAGUCCCUGUCUUGUCUCC